rnacentral:snoRNA from 1 species
AACCCAUGGUGUGGGCAUUGGUUUGUGUAGCUCCUGAUUCUCUCAUAUGCUUCACCAAAACUUUCAUUGCUUUGCUGAGUGAAGCUAGAGAUUUGGUUCCUUAGUUU